rnacentral:pre_miRNA from 1 species
AAAGAGUGGAGUUUUGUACUGUUUAUAUUUAACGUUUAACCGUCCGUCUUCUUUGAAAAAAAAUUUUUAGAUUAGUUUUUGUUGGUAUUUGAUGAUAAAACAUAAAUAGUAUUUUAUAUGUGAUUUAUUUUAUUUUUUCAUAAUUUUUUGUAAAUAAGACGAACGGUUAAAUGUGGACACUGGAAACUUACAACUUUACUUAAA